GAUGAAGAACGUAGCAAAAUGCGAUAAGUAAUGUGAAUUGCAGAAUUCAGUGAAUCAUCGAAUCUUUGAACGCACAUUGCGCCCGCUGGUAUUCCGGCGGCAUGCCUGUUCGAGCGUCAUUUCAACCCUCAAGCCCCCGGGUUUGGUGUUGGGGAUCGGCUCUGCCUUCUGGCGGUGCCGCCCCCGAAAUACAUUGGCGGUCUCGCUGCAGCCUCCAUUGCGUAGUAGCUAACACCUCGCAACUGGAACGCGGCGCGGCCAUGCCGUAAAACCCCAACUUCUGAAUGUUGACCUCGGAUCAGGUAGGAAUACCCGCUGAACUUAAGCAUAUCAAUAAGCGGAGGA
rnacentral:misc_RNA from 1 species